rnacentral:tRNA from 1 species
GAAGGUAUAGCUGAAGGGGUAGAGCGCAUGCUUAGCAUGCACGAGGUCCUGGGUUCAAUCCCCGAUACUGCCA